AGUGAACGCUGGCGGCAGGCCUAACACAUGCAAGUCGAACGGCAGCACAGUAAGAGCUUGCUCUUACGGGUGGCGAGUGGCGGACGGGUGAGGAAUAUAUCGGAAUCUACUUUUUCGUGGGGGUUAACGUAGGGAAACUUACGCCAAUAUCGCAUACGACGUACGGGUGAAAGCAGGGGAUCUUCGGACCUUGCGCGAUUGAAUGAGCGGCUGUUGGAUUAGCUAGUUGGCGGGUUAAAGGCCCACCAAGGCGACGAUCCGUAGCUGGUCUGAGUGGAUGAUCAGCCACACUGGAACUUAGACACGGUCCAGACUCCUACGGGAGGCAGCAGUGGGGAAUAUUAGACAAUGGGCGCAAGCCUGAUCCAGCCAUACCGCGUGGGUGAAAAAGGCCUUCGGUUUGUAAAGCCCUUUUGUUGGGAAAGAAAAGCAGCAGGUUAAUACCCCGCUGUUCUGACGGUACCCAAAGAAUAAGCACCGGCUAACUUCGUG
rnacentral:rRNA from 1 species